UCCCCCCUCAAGCCCCGUGCUUGGUGUUGGACGGCUCGGUCGAGUGACAUCGACCCGUCCUAAAGACAAUGACGGCGGCCUGUGGUUCCCCCGGUACACUGAGCUUAUAACUGAGCACGUAUCGGACAAGGGCGCCCAGGACACGGUCCUCUCCUUUAGUCAGGAAACUUCGCAAGG
rnacentral:misc_RNA from 1 species